GAUGAACGCUGGCGGCGUGCCUAACACAUGCAAGUCGAACGGAGAUUUAACGCUGAUGAAGCUUCGGCAGAAUCUUGUUAAAUCUUAGUGGCGGACGGGUGAGUAACGCGUGGGGAACCUGCCCCAUUCCGGGGGAUACCAGUUGGAAACGACUGUUAAUACCGCAUAAGCGCACGGUACCGCAUGGUACAGUGUGAAAAACUCCGGUGGAAUGGGAUGGCCCCGCGUCUGAUUAGGCAGUUGGCGGGGUAACGGCCCACCAAACCGACGAUCAGUAGCCGACCUGAGAGGGUGACCGGCCACAUUGGGACUGAGACACGGCCCAAACUCC
rnacentral:rRNA from 1 species